UGGAUCCAGACUUUGAUUAUGGCUCAGGAUGAACGCUAGCUACAGGCUUAACACAUGCAAGUCGAAGGGAAACGGCAUCGAAAGCUUGCUUUUGAUGGGCGUCGACCGGCGCACGGGUGAGUAACGCGUAUCCAACCUGCCCACCACUUGGGGAUAACCUUGCGAAAGUAAGACUAAUACCCAAUGACGUCUCUAGAAGACAUCUGAAAGAGAUUAAGGAUUUAUCGGUGAUGGAUGGGGAUGCGUCUGAUUAGCUCGUUGGCGGGGUAACGGCCCACCAAGGCGACGAUCAGUAGGGGUUCUGAGAGGAAGGUCCCCCACAUUGGAACUGAGACACGUCCAAACUCCUACGGGAGGCAGCAGUGAGGAAUAUUGGUCAAUGGGCGAGAGCCUGAACCAGCCAAGUAGCGUGCAGGAUGACGGCCCUAUGGGUUGUAAACUGCUUUUACAAGGGAAUAAAGUGAGUCUCGUGAGACUUUUUGCAUGUACCUUAUGAAUAAGGACCGGCUAAUUCCGUGCCAGCAGCCGCGGUAAUACGGAAGGUCCGGGCGUUAUCCGGAUUUAUUGGGUUUAAAGGGAGCGUAGGCCGGAGAUUAAGCGUGUUGUGAAAUGUAGACGCUCAACGUCUGCACUGCAGCGCGAACUGGUUUCCUGGAGUACGCACAAAGUGGGCGGAAUUCGUGGUGUAGCGGUGAAAUGCUUAGAUAUCACGAAGAACUCCGAUUGCGAAGGCAGCUCACUGGAGCGCAACUGACGCUGAAGCUCGAAAGUGCGGGUAUCGAACAGGAUUAGAUACCCUGGUAGUCCGCACGGUAAACGAUGGAUGCCCGCUGUUGGUCUGAACAGGUCAGCGGCCAAGCGAAAGCAUUAAGCAUCCCACCUGGGGAGUACGCCGGCAACGGUGCAACUCAAAUGAAUUGACGGA
rnacentral:rRNA from 1 species